GUAGGUGAACCUGCGGAGGGAUCAUUACACAACAAAAAUAUGAGGGUGUGGUUUGCUGGCAACAGCGUCCGCCCCAAGUAUUUUUCACCCAUGUCUUUUGCGCACUUUUUGUUUCCUGGGCGAGUUCGCUCGCCACCAGGACCCAACCAUAAACCUUUUUUUAUGCAGUUGCAAUCAGCGUCAGUAUAAUAAUUCAAUUUAUUAAAACUUUCAACAACGGAUCUCUUGGUUCUG
rnacentral:misc_RNA from 1 species